rnacentral:rRNA from 1 species
GACAGAGGGUGCAAACGUUGUUCGGAAUCACUGGGCGUAAAGCGCACGUAGGCGGAUUGUUAAGUCAGGGGUGAAAUCCUGGAGCUCAACUCCAGAACUGCCUUUGAUACUGACGGUCUUGAGUCCGGGAGAGGUGAGUGGAACUCCGAGUGUAGAGGUGAAAUUCGUAGAUAUUCGCAAGAACACCAGUGGCGAAGGCGGCUCACUGGUCCGGUACUGACGCUGAGGUGCGAAAGCGUGGGGAGCAAACAGG